rnacentral:ncRNA from 2 species
UAAUUAACGGCCAUGGAUGGUUCCCUCGCACCGAAGCGGCGUGAGGGAGUAAAUGGGAAUGUGACGGGCGGACCCACGCAGGGCGCCCUUAUCGCAGCCGACCCCGCGACUGUAGAACGGUCAGGGUUCGCCAUCGGGCAUGCCGCUCCGCUACCGAUGUAACUGCAUGGUGCAGUUGUCGCGGGAUCGGAUGGCGUGCCGGAAAAGCCACUGGCGUGGCAUCGUGAGCAGCCGGGCUGGACGCCUCUUCUUCUACGAAUCGUCCGCCCUCACGAGCCAGCAAACGCCGGGAAGGCGAGGCGGACCCGUUCGGGCUCAAAUGUCGAUGCGCACCGCGUGCGCAGCGCUUUGCCCGUGACGCCGAGAGCCAGGAGACCUGCCGUCCAUCAGGGCAUCGC